UCCCCGUCAAAUCAUUUGAGUUCAACCNUGCGGUCGUACUCCCCAGGCGGAGUGCUUAAUGCGUUAGCUGCAGCACUAAGGGGCGGAAACCCCCUAACACUUAGCACUCAUCGUUUACGGCGUGGACUACCAGGGUAUCUAAUCCUGUUUGAUCCCCACGCUUUCGCACAUCAGCGUCAGUUACAGACCAGAAAGUCGCCUUCGCCACUGGUGUUCCUCCAUAUCUCUGCGCAUUUCACCGCUACACAUGGAAUUCCACUUUCCUCUUCUGCACUCAAGUUUUCCAGUUUCCAAUGACCCUCCACGGUUGAGCCGUGGGCUUUCACAUCAGACUUAAAAAACCGCCUACGCGCGCUUUACGCCCAAUAAUUCCGGAUAACGCUUGCCACCUACGUAUUACCGCGGCUGCUGGCACGUAGUUAGCCGUGGCUUUCUGAUUAGGUACCGUCAAGACGUGCAUAGUUACUUACACAUUUGUUCUUCCCUGAUAACAGAGUUUUACGAUCCGAAGACCUUCAUCACUCACGCGGCGUUGCUCCGUCAGGCUUUCGCCCAUUGCGGAAGAUUCCCUACUGCUGCCUCCCGUAGGAGUCUGGACCGUGCCUCAGUUCCAGUGUGGCCGAUCACCCUCUCAGGUCGGCUACGCAUCGUUGCCUUGGUAAGCCGUUACCUUACCAACUAGCUAAUGCGGCGCGGAUCCAUCUAUAAGUGACAGCAAAACCGUCUUUCACUAUUGAACCAUGCGGUUCAAUAUUUUAUUCGGUAUUAGCUCCGGUUUCCCGAAGUUAUCCCAGUCUUAUAGGUAGGUUAUCCACGUGUUACUCACCCGUCCGCCGCUAACGUCAGAGGAGCAAGCUCCUCGUCUGUUCGCUCGACUUGCAUGUAUUAGGCACGCCGCUAGCGUUCAUCCUGAGCCAGAAUCAAACUCU
rnacentral:rRNA from 1 species